UCGAGGGUCUUUUCGUCUUUUCUCGUUUUACGUGUCGGAUAUCGUGGGGUGUGUCAGGUGUAUCCGAGAGUUUAUUGGGGCAUUUUAUUGAGUUCAGGACUCUUUGAAAUGCAAGGGUUGCUAUUUUGACAUUUUUUAGUUUUUCGGACCGAAAAGUCCCGUGUGGGACCCGCUACCGAAAUUGUUGCGUAUGGGAGUUUUGUUUGGGUCCAGUUGCACCUCAUUUAUUUUAUUUUAUUUUUUAUGUUUUGUGUGGUUGCGAAUUAUUAUGUAUAUAUAUAUAUACAUAUGUAUGUAUAUAUAUAUAUUGUUGGUAGAAAAAAAAAAAAAAAAAAAGGAAAAAGAAAAGAUAUUUUAAAUUGAGUGGGACCCACCUUAUUACAUUUUAUGUAAUAAACCAAAGAGGUCGUUACCAGACCUUAGCUUCUUUCUCUCUCCCCGCGGUUGCUUCCCUUUUUCCUCUCUGUUUUUCUAUUUUUCUUUUUCAUUUCAUAACUUCAAUCUUUGAUUACUUCUCAAUCAUUUGGAGAUUUUUGGUACUGUUUGCGGCAAAACUGAGAGUACAUCAAGAUCUACACAUUGAUGUAAGCAAUUCAUCAUUUGGCCAACCAUAGGAUUUUCAAAAUUCUAGGGCUCAAUUUGGGGGUUUUCUCAUUUUUAGAGGGCCAGAAAAGAAAAUAGUGGAUGCCGAUCCAUCUCAACCAUGAAGAGGACUAGAGAUCUAUUUUGGCACCUUUUGCGUAUUAGUUAAUCUUUUGUAAAGUCACAAACUAUGGAAAAAUGUAUUCAUUUUUGCAAAUCAUGGCCAUGUAACUUAACUAAGAUACUUGAUUACUUUCGAUGUAAAUUAAGACUAUGUAAAUGCUUAUGUUGAAUGAGAGGAUGAUGUUAUAUCUUUGAGAAA